AGAAUGAGGGGCAUUCUUAACCAAUAAGCCACAUUCCCAGCCUCAAGAUUUAAAUAUUUUAGUUAGAGACAGGGUCCUGCAGAGUUGCUUAGAACUUUUAUGCUUUUAUGUAUCCUUAAAAAUAAAUUAAAAUUAAAAAUGAAAAUUACAAAAAGAUAACUAGGGUCUAUAUUAGGACAACAGUGGUGAAGGAUGAGGGAGAACUGAAUUUAAAAGGCAUUUCUGAAGUAAAAUCUGAAGACUUAGGGACUCCAGGAGAAAUGAGAGAAUCAAGAACAAUUCCCAGACUUCAGAACUGGAGUAUGGAUGCCUUAAUACAUUUAGAGCAGAAAACAGACUUGGUCUUGAGAGGAAAGAAAAAAUGAUAUUUCAUUUUUUUAGCAUAUUUAUUUUGAGGUACCUUUUGGAUAUCCCACUGGCAUUGCCAAAUAGUUAUUAGUACCUCUAUAGCCUGGUGGAGUGAUCAGGGCUAUAAGCCUUCUUUAUAACUCCUGCUUGGAAGAAACAGUACCCAUCUUGUAGACUUAGUAUAAGAUCUAUGGUUUUGUGUUGGUUUGGUGAUGUAGAUAAUUGGGGGCUAGUGAGUUACUUUAGACUUUAUUUGGGAGAAUUGGAGACAGAGUGGGUGUCUGGGUAUGCUUCUACAAGUGGGGUUGGAUCCCAUAUGUUAUGAUAAAAUUGGAGGAGAAGCACAGACAGGGUGAUGUAUCUUCAAGGAAAGAUAUGUCACCCCAGCUGCUGGCAGUUCAGUGGAGAGGCAACCUCCAAUUAUAGCCUCAUCAAGGCCUGCCUCACUUUUCCAGGAGUCCCAUUAUCUAGAGAGUGGUCCAAUGACUAAUAAGUAUGAAGGCACUGGCUACUACAGCCUCACAUGAGACAACUCUGAUGGGCCAUUUUAGUGCCAGACCUUACCGCAGGUUUGACCAAGGCCACUGUCAGGCCUGCAUCUCAGCUCAACUUCUCCCUCUGCCCAAUUUCUAAUCCUUCUCUUUCCUCCCACUGGUAUGGAUCCAAAGGAACUCCCCAGUCAACAUCCUGCACAACAAAUUCCAGCCCAGACUCUGUGACGGGGUCUAAAUGUCUCACACCAAGCUCCUUCAACUUGGCCUAUUUGUAAUACUUGCUAUAAUCCCAAGCUAAGCUGAUGAGGUCUCUGCAUUCAGACUCUAACUGAACCACAGACACCUAUAUUUUCUCCAUGUACUGGGGAGUAGCUAUUAGCUCUUUUCUAUUUUAUCAGAUAGAGUAAGUAACAGGCUUCGAUUAAUCUAGCUGGACAAGUAACAAAAAGACUAUCAUGGGCUCAGCAAAUAACUCCAUCCAACCUGCCCCAAAGACCCACAUAGCAAAAGCUAUUAAGCCUUAUGUAUUUUAUUUUCUUUCUCCUACAACCCUGAAGUGUUUGCUGACAUCUGAAGUCUGGUAAUAAUCAUCGUCCUCUAGCCAUGUUUCUGAAUCUUCAGCCAAAUUCAUGGCUGUCCCAUUUUCCGAGUCAGAUGGUCUAAUCAACUAACCCAUUCUAAAUAGCCUUGCUCCUGGAUAUAAAAGAGGAAGAAAAAAUAAACCUCUAUAAGCUUCAGGGUCACAAAACUGAUGGAAAAUAUUUCUAAUGGAAAUGCUGGAUGGUCACAGAACAGAGGCCUUAAUAAGAGUAAAUUUAUUUGGGACUCCUAUGCAAUAGCAUUAAUCAAAAAAACUAAGUUUGUUG
rnacentral:lncRNA from 1 species